rnacentral:rRNA from 1 species
UACGGAGGGUGCAAGCGUUAUCCGGAUUCACUGGGUUUAAAGGGUGCGUAGGUGGGCAGUUAAGUCAGUGGUGAAAUCUCCGGGCUCAACCCGGAAACUGCCAUUGAUACUAUCUGUCUUGAAUAUCGUGGAGGUAAGCGGAAUAUGUCAUGUAGCGGUGAAAUGCAUAGAUAUCGUCAAGAACACCGAUAGCGAAGGCAGCCAACUAGGGGUUAACUGACGCUGAGGCACGAAAGUGCGGGGAUCAAACAGG